rnacentral:rRNA from 1 species
CACGUAGGGUGCGAGCGUUGUCCGGAAUUAUUGGGCGUAAAGAGCUCGUAGGCGGUGUGUCGCGUCGGCCGUGAAAACUUGCAGCUUAACUGUGGGCGUGCGGUCGAUACGGGCAUCACUGGAGUUCGGCAGGGGAGGCUGGAAUUCCUGGUGUAGCGGUGAAAUGCGCAGAUAUCAGGAGGAACACCGGUGGCGAAGGCGGGUCUCUGGGCCGAUACUGACGCUGAGGAGCGAAAGCGUGGGGAGCGAACAGG